GAAGGCAGCCAUGUUGGAUAUUAUUGACAAAUGGGCGAAAAGCCGAUACCAAGCAAUGCCCGCGUGUGGGAAGAGGCCUUUUUGGUUGUAAAGCACUUUCAGGCGAGGAAGGAGGAUUCUGGAAAUAAUAUCCUAUGAAUAGUGGUCGUUACUCGCAGAAUAAGCACCGGCUAACUCUGUGCCAGCAGCCGCAGUUAAUACAGAGGGUGCGAGCGUUAAUCGGAUUUACUGGGCGUAAAGCGUGCGUAGGCGGCUUUUUUAAGUCGGAUGUGAAAUCCCUGAGCUUAACUUAGGAAUUGCAUUCGAUACUGGGAAGCUAGAGUAUGGGAGAGGAUGGUAGAAUUCCAGGUGUAGCGGUGAAAAUGCGUAGAGAUGUGGAGGAAAUACCGAUGGCGAAGGCAGCCAUCUGGCCUAAUACUGACGCUGAGGUACGAAAGCAUGGGGAGCAAACAGGAUUAGAUACCCUGGUAGUCCAUGCCGUAAACGAUGUCUACUAGCCGUUGGGGCCUUUGAGGCUUUAGUGGCGCAGCUAACGCGAUAAGUAGACCGCCUGGGGAGUACGGUCGCAAGACUAAAACUCAAAUGAAUUGACGGGGGCCCGCACAAGCGGUGGAGCAUGUGGUUUAAUUCGAUGCAACGCGAAGAACCUUACCUGGUCUUGACAUAGUAAGAACUUUCCAGAGAUGGAUUGGUGCCUUCGGGAACUUACAUACAGGUGCUGCAUGGCUGUCGUCAGCUCGUGUCGUGAGAUGUUGGGUUAAGUCCCGCAACGAGCGCAACCCUUUUCCUUAUUUGCCAGCGGGUUAAGCCGGGAACUUUAAGGAUACUGCCAGUGACAAACUGGAGGAAGGCGGGGACGACGUCAAGUCAUCAUGGCCCUUACGACCAGGGCUACACACGUGCUACAAUGGUCGGUACAAAGGGUUGCUACCUAGCGAUAGGAUGCUAAUCUCAAAAAGCCGAUCGUAGUCCGGAUUGGAGUCUGCAACUCGACUCCAUGAAGUCGGAAUCGCUAGUAAUCGCGGAUCAGAAUGCCGCGGUGAAUACGUUCCCGGGCCUUGUACACACCGCCCGUCACACCAUGGGAAUUUGUGCACCAAGUGGUUACCUGUUACGACU
rnacentral:rRNA from 1 species